rnacentral:rRNA from 1 species
CAGGGAAUCUUGCACAAUGGGCGAAAGCCUGAUGCAGCGACGCCGCGUGAGGGAAGAAGGCUCUAGGGUCGUAAACCUCUUUUCUAAAGGAAGAGAAUGGACGGUACUUUAGGAAUAAGCCACGGCUAACUUCGUGCCAGCAGCCGCGGUAAUACGAAGGGACCUAGCGUAGUUCGGAAUUACUGGGCUUAAAGAGUUCGUAGGUGGUUAAAAUAGUUGGUUGUGAAAUCCCGGAGCUUAACUCCGGAACUGCAAUCAAAACUUUUUAGCUAGAGUAUGAUAGAGGGAAGCAGAAUUUCUAGUGUAGAGGUGAAAUUCGUAGAUAUUAGAAAGAAUACCAAUUGCGAAGGCAGCUUUCUGGAUCAUUACUGACGCUGAGGAACGAAAGCAUGGGUAGCGAAGAGG